UACGUAGGGAGCAAGCGUUGUCCGGAAUCAUUGGGCGUAAAGAGCUCGUAGGCGGCUCAGUAAGUCGGGUGUGAAACCUCCAGGCUCAACCUGGAGACGCCACCCGAUACUGCUGUGGCUAGAGUCCAGUAGGGGAGUGUGGAAUUCCCGGUGUAGCGGUGAAAUGCGCAGAUAUCGGGAGGAACACCAGCGGCGAAGGCGGCACUCUGGGCUGGUACUGACGCUGAGGAGCGAAAGCGUGGGUAGCAAACAGG
rnacentral:rRNA from 1 species